AAGUCCCGCAACGAGCGCAACCCUUAAGCUUAGUUGCCAUCAUUAAGUUGGGCACUCUAAGUUGACUGCCGGUGACAAACCGGAGGAAGGUGGGGAUGACGUCAAAUCAUCAUGCCCCUUAUGAUUUGGGCUACACACGUGCUACAAUGGACAAUACAAAGGGUAGCGAAACCGCGAGGUCAAGCAAAUCCCAUAAAGUUGUUCUCAGUUCGGAUUGUAGUCUGCAACUCGACUAUAUGAAGCUGGAAUCGCUAGUAAUCGUAGAUCAGCAUGCUACGGUGAAUACGUUCCCGGGUCUUGUACACACCGCCCGUCACACCACGAGAGUUUGUAACACCCGAAGCCGGUGGAGUAACCAUUUGGAGCUAGCCGUCGAAGGUGGGACAAAUGAUUGGGGUGAAGUCGUAACAAGGUAGCCGUAUCGGAAGGUGCGGCUGGAUCACCUCCUUUCUAAGGA
rnacentral:rRNA from 1 species